UAGGGAAUCUUCGGCAAUGGGGGCAACCCUGACCGAGCAACGCCGCGUGAGUGAAGAAGGUUUUCGGAUCGUAAAGCUCUGUUGUAAGAGAAGAACGUGUGUGAGAGUGGAAAGUUCACACAGUGACGGUAACUUACCAGAAAGGGACGGCUAACUACGUGCCAGCAGCCGCGGUAAUACGUAGGUCCCGAGCGUUGUCCGGAUUUAUUGGGCGUAAAGCGAGCGCAGGCGGUUUAAUAAGUCUGAAGUUAAAGGCAGUGGCUUAACCAUUGUUCGCUUUGGAAACUGUUAAACUUGAGUGUAGAAGGGGAGAGUGGAAUUCCAUGUGUAGCGGUGAAAUGCGUAGAUAUAUGGAGGAACACCGGUGGCGAAAGCGGCUCUCUGGUCUGUAACUGACGCUGAGGCUCGAAAGCGUGGGGAGCAAACAGG
rnacentral:rRNA from 1 species